UAGGGAAUCUUCGGCAAUGGACGAAAGUCUGACCGAGCAACGCCGCGUGAGUGAAGAAGGUUUUCGGAUCGUAAAACUCUGUUGUUAGAGAAGAACAAGGACGAUAGUAACUGAACGUCGCCUGACGGUAUCUAACCAGAAAGCCACGGCUAACUACGUGCCAGCAGCCGCGGUAAUACGUAGGUGGCAAGCGUUGUCCGGAUUUAUUGUGCGUAAAGCGAGCGCAGGCGGUUUCUUAAGUCUGAUGUGAAAGCCCCCGGCUCAACCGGGGAGGGUCAUUGGAAACUGGGAGACUUGAGUGCAGAAGAGGAGAGUGGAAUUCCAUGUGUAGCGGUGAAAUGCGUAGAUAUAUGGAGGAACACCAGUGGCGAAGGCGGCUCUCUGGUCUGUAACUGACGCUGAGGCUCGAAAGCGUGGGGAGCAAACAGG
rnacentral:rRNA from 1 species